rnacentral:rRNA from 1 species
CCUACGGGAGGCAGCAGUGAGGAAUAUUGGUCAAUGGGCGGAAGCCUGAACCAGCCAUGCCGCGUGCAGGAAGACGGCCCUAUGGGUUGUAAACUGCUUUUGUACGGGAAGAAACCCUUCUUUGCGAAGAAGUCUGACGGUACCGUACGAAUAAGGAUCGGCUAACUCCGUGCCAGCAGCCGCGGUAAUACGGAGGAUCCAAGCGUUAUCCGGAAUCAUUGGGUUUAAAGGGUCCGUAGGCGGCCCUAUAAGUCAGUGGUGAAAGCCUCUCGCUUAACGAGAGAACUGCCAUUGAUACUGUAGGGCUUGAAUGACUGUGAAGUAACUAGAAUAUGUAGUGUAGCGGUGAAAUGCUUAGAUAUUACAUGGAAUACCGAUUGCGAAGGCAGGUUACUAACAGUUUAUUGACGCUGAUGGACGAAAGCGUGGGGAGCGAACAGGAUUAGAUACCCCUGUAGUCC